rnacentral:rRNA from 1 species
UACAGAGGUGGCAAGCGUUGUUCGGAAUUACUGGGCGUAAAGGGCGCGUAGGCGGUUCGAUAAGUCCUGUGUGAAAUCCCUCGGCUCAACUGAGGAACUGCACGGGAGACUGUCGGGCUUGAGUUCGGGAGAGGGAAGCGGAAUUCCGGGUGUAGCGGUGAAAUGCGUAGAUAUCCGGAGGAACACCAGUGGCGAAGGCGGCUCACUGGACUGGUAUUGACGCUGAGGUGCGAAAGCGUGGGGAGCAAACAGGGAUUAAGAA